rnacentral:rRNA from 1 species
GGCAUCUUCUUGUUUUUAAAAGACCUAGCAAUAGGUAUGCUUAGGGAGGAGCUUGCGUCACAUUAGUUAGUUGGUGGGGUAAAGGCCUACCAAGACUAUGAUGUGUAGCCGGGCUGAGAGGUUGAACGGCCACAUUGGGACUGAGACACGGCCCAAACUCCUACGGGAGGCAGCAGUAGGGAAUUUUCGGCAAUGGAGGAAACUCUGACCGAGCAACGCCGCGUGAACGAUGAAGUAUUUCGGUACGUAAAGUUCUUUUAUUAGGGAAGAAUAAAUGAUGGAAAAAUCAUUCUGACGGUACCUAAUGAAUAAGCCCCGGCUAACUAUGUGCCAGCAGCCGCGGUAAUACAUAGGGGGCAAGCGUUAUCCGGAAUUAUUGGGCGUAAAGGGUGCGUAGGCGGUUAAAUAAGUUUAUGGUCUAAGUGCAAUGCUCAACAUUGUGAUGCUAUAAAAACUGUUUAGCUAGAGUAAGAUAGAGGCAAGUGGAAUUCCAUGUGUAGUGGUAAAAUGCGUAAAUAUAUGGAGGAACACCAGUAGCGAAGGCGGCUUGCUGGGUCUUUACUGACGCUGAGGCACGAAAGCGUGGGGAGCAAACAGGAUUAGAUACCCUGGUAGUCCACGCCGUAAACGAUGAGUACUAAACGUUGGGUAAAACCAGUGUUGAAGUUAACACAUUAAGUACUCCGCCUGAGUAGUACGUACGCAAGUAUGAAACUUAAAGGAAUUGACGGGACUCCGCACAAGCGGUGGAUCAUGUUGUUUAAUUCGAAGGUACCCGAAAAACCUCACCAGGUCUUGACAUGCUUCUGCAAAGCUGUAGAAACACAGUGGAGGUUAUCAGUUGCACAGGUGGUGCAUGGUUGUCGUCAGCUCGUGUCGUGAGAUGUUGGGUUAAGUCCCGCAACGAGCGCAACCCUUAUUGUUAGUUACCAGCACGUAAUGGUGGGGACUUUAGCAAGACUGCCAGUGAUAAAUUGGAGGAAGGUGGGGACGACGUCAAAUCAUCAUGCCCCUUAUGACCUGGGCUACAAACGUGAUACAAUGGCUGUUACAAAGGGUAGCUGAAGCGCAAGUUUUUGGCGAAUCUCAAAAAAACAGUCUCAGUUCGGAUUGAAGUCUGCAACUCGACUUCAUGAAGUUGGAAUCGCUAGUAAUCGCGAAUCAGCAU